GUGCCCUUUUAAGGCUGACACAGUGCCUUAAGAGGCUAACACAGAAGGGUAAAAGAAGCGUCCAUAAAACCCAGAGACGAGACUGUGAAACUCCUCUUUGGAUCCUGUCUGGAGUCACAGCU
ensembl:snoRNA